GAUGCCAUCAUUUUCUCACAAGAUUGUGAGCUUCACAACACUAAGUAGGGAUUGUAGGUUUUUGGGGGUUUUUCCAAGCUUCAAUUACUCUGCCCAUGGCAGAUAUGCAGUAAUUCCAUUAAGCCUGUGCUGAGGUUUGAAUGUCCCCCUAAAAGCAUGUGUUGGAAGCUUCAUCUCCAAUGCAAUAGUGUUGGGAGGUGGGGCCUACCAUUGCUUUUGUGUUUUUCAGUUCAGUGACUGUGGUUCCCACUGUAUGUAUAGUACGGCCAAUAGAGAAGAGCAGCCACAGAGCUCUUCAGGGAUUCAGGGGCUCUCCUUACAAAUCUGUUUCUCAAGGCAUGGGUGAAAGACCUGUAGUUACAGGAGAGAUGACUCUGACUGAGGACACACCUAGAAACUCCCAAGUCGCUUAUGUGGAGUGGGAACCAGGAAAUCCCAUCUGGAGCUCAACCAUUUCCUUCAUCACUCUAUCCAGCGACACCAGGAGCAACCAACAAACAUCAUUAUAUUCCUUGGUUUUCCACAAAUGUUUGAGAAUAUUAUGUAUAGAGUCAUUAAAUUCUUUCCUCUUAUAAGUAG